rnacentral:rRNA from 1 species
UUUCCGUAGGUGAACCUGCGGAAGGAUCAUUACAGAGUUCAUGCCCGAAAGGGUAGACCUCCCACCCUUGUGUAUUAUUACUUUGUUGCUUUGGCGAGCUGCUCUUCGGGGCCUUGUAUGCUCGCCAGAGAAUAUCAAAACUCUUUUUAUUAAUGUCGUCUGAGUACUAUAUAAUAGUUAAAACUUUCAACAACGGAUCUCUUGGUUCUGGCAUCGAUGAAGAACGCAGCGAAAUGCGAUAAGUAAUGUGAAUUGCAGAAUUCAGUGAAUCAUCGAAUCUUUGAACGCACAUUGCGCCCCUUGGUAUUCCGGGGGGCAUGCCUGUUCGAGCGUCAUUUCAACCCUCAAGCUCAGCUUGGUAUUGAGUCCAUGUCAGUAAUGGCAGGCUCUAAAAUCAGUGGCGGCGCCGCUGGGUCCUGAACGUAGUAAUAUCUCUCGUUACAGGUUCUCGGUGUGCUUCUGCCAAAACCCAAAUUUUCUAUGGUUGACCUCGGAUCAGCAGCACUCUGUUGCAAUCUUGCUAGAUUACUUGUGCAAACCAUCUCUUGUUUAUAGUCGCGAGGCUACCCUGUGAAGGGCCACAACGGCUUCAAUAAGUGUCACUGCGGUAAGAUUCAAUCUGCCAAAACCCAAAUUUUCUAUGGUUGACCUCGGAUCAGGUAGGGAUACCCGCUGAACUUAA